rnacentral:rRNA from 1 species
UGUGUAAGCGCAGCGAUGCGUUGAGCUAACCGGUACUAAUGAACCGUGAGGUUUAACCUUACAACGCCGAAGGUGUUU